UACGUAGGGUGCAAGCGUUGUCCGGAAUUACUGGGCGUAAAGCGAGUGUAGGCGGUUGCCCAAGUCAGGUGUGAAAGCCUUGAGCUCAACUCAAGAAAUGCACUUGGUACUGGGUGGCUAGAGGACCGGAGAGGAUAGUGGAAUUCCCAGUGUAGUGGUGAAAUACGUAGAGAUUGGGAAGAACACCAGUGGCGAAGGCGGCUAUCUGGACGGUUACUGACGCUGAGACGCGAAAGCGUGGGGAGCAAACAGG
rnacentral:rRNA from 1 species